rnacentral:misc_RNA from 1 species
GAAUGAAGAACGUAGCGAAAUGCGAUACUUGGUGUGAAUUGCAGAAUCCCGUGAACCAUCGAGUCUUUGAACGCAAGUUGCGCCCGAAGCCAUUAGGCCGAGGGCACGCCUGCCUGGGCGUCACACGUCGUUGCCCCCCCAUCUACUCCUUCGGGAUUGCGGGGGGCGGAUGAUGGCCUCUCGUGCGCCUCGUCGCGCGGUUGGCCUAAAUGCCAAGUCCUCGGCGACGCACGCCACGACAAUCGGUGGUUGCGAAACCUCGGUUGCCUGUCGUGUGCGGUCGUCGCGCAUCGAGGGCUCGAAAAAAUUGCCGGGCUUCGGCUCGACUUUCAACGCGACCCCAGGUCAGGCGGGGUUACCCGCUGAAUUUAAGCAUAUCAAUAAGCGGAGGA